GUGCGGCUGAGGCGGAGGUGCGGGAUGUCCCCUGCCGCCCGCGCCCGCAGGGGCCGGAGCUCCGAGGCCAGGCCAUCUCCCCCGAGGAGCUGAGGGAGCCGCUUCCAUCCGCGCACAACUUGGGGCGCGCGGGUUCCACGUCCCGCUCCCAGAGGAGAAAGGCGCGCGUCCCCGACCGCGGCGCCCGCGCGGACCCCAACGUGACUUUCUUAAAAGAGCCCGGACAAUGGCAGCCGUGAAAAACACGACCGAAGUGGCACCUAGCGCCGCGGUGGCAGGGGGAGAAGUUAAGGAAAACUUACGCACAAGUGACCCCAGAAUAGGCUUCUGGCGGGGCCGUUUUUUGCUCCUGCACAAGUGGGAUUAGGUCUGAGAAUGACAGCUCAAGACCUGCGCUAGGGCUGGAGUCCUGGCUCUGGCCCGAGACCCCCUCAGCGCCCCGCGACUCCCGGUUCUGGAAUUGGGCCUCUGCUUCCUUCACUGAAGUCAUGGCAGCUUGAAGUGCAGUUAGGAGAAUUAUCCUCUCUUUUUUCCUCUGGAGAUUAUGACCUCUGCAUUAAAAUGUGUCUCUCGUGAAAUUUAAACAAUAUUCUGGUGUAUACUUUGUUUUAAAGAAGUUGUGCUUGAAUUGGUUAAAAAGAAAAGGGGAUUUAAAAUCGACAGCCAAGUUUAGGUUUAUUUGUUGUGGAGUUUUGUGUUUGGUUGAGGCAAGGAGUGAGUUUUAAGUAAAAUUUUCAAGUGUACUACUAAUUUAUUUAUUUAUUUUUCAUUGUUUGCAGACGUUAAUCUUUCAGUGAAGACCUUUUAAGGAAUACAUGCAAAAAUAACAGUGGUUUAAGCCCACCCAUAAGGACUAUAGCCUGCCCCCCGCCUUUUUUCUUAACUUGUGACAGAGCCUCGGGAAAGUUUCAUUAAUCUUGGGAUGUAAAAAACAUGUUAAGUUGAAUUCUAGGCCUCCAAAUGAAAAAAUGUUUGUGUUUAUCUUAAUAGAAUUAUCGGA
rnacentral:lncRNA from 1 species